UUGACCUCAAAUCAGGUAGGACUACCCGCUGAACUUAAGCAUAUCAAUAAGCGGAGGAAAAGAAACUAACAAGGAUUCCCCUAGUAACUGCGAGUGAAGCGGGAAA
rnacentral:rRNA from 1 species